UACGGGAGGCAGCAGGUGGGGAAUAUUGCACAAUGGGCGAAAGCCUGAUGCAGCUAUGCCGCGUGUAUGAAGAAGGCCUUAGGGUUGUAAAGUACUUUCAUCGGGGAGGAAAAAACAAAACUAAUAAUUUUAUUUCUUGACGUUACCCGAAAAAGAAGCACCGGCUAACUCCGUGCCAGCAGCCGCGGUAAUACGGAGGGUGCUAGCGUUAAUCAGAAUUACUGGGCGUAAAGAGCACGUAGGUGGUUUUUUAAGUCAGAUGUGAAAUCCCUGGGCUUAACCUAGGAAACUGCAUUUUGAAACUGAAAUACUAGAGUAUCGUAGAGGGAGGUAGAAUUCUAGGUGUAGCGGUGAAAUGCGUAGAUAUCUGGAGGAAUACCUGUGGCGAAAGCGGCCUCCUAAACGAAUACUGACACUGAGGUGCGAAAGCGUGGGGAGCAAACAGGGAUUAGAUACC
rnacentral:rRNA from 1 species